AUGGAUUUAAAUGUAAAGAAUUAAACCAUAAAUAUAUUCAAGAAAACACAGGAACACUGUAUCUGCUGUGUGAAAAACAGACUGGGGAGGCUGGAAGGGGCAAGGCCAGAACCAAGGAGACUACUUAGGAAACUAUAGCAAGAGUCCAGGUCUUAGGAGGAAAUACCUAAGAAGAGAUGAUUAAUUACUGUCUGAAAAGUGCUUUGAGAUCCUCUGAAGGAAGAACCAGGAUGAAACGGCCUGAGUUGUUACAGAGCAGAACUGAAGGCACGGAGGCAGACGCAGAUUGGGAGCUGCUCUGAGCAGAGCUCUGGGAGGGGCUGCGCCGAGUAACCCAUACCUGCAGGCCGCUGGGGCCUGGGCCUGUGGAAUCCCAGCAAGACGGACCCUCCUCCUUCAGGCAC